rnacentral:rRNA from 1 species
GCAUACCUCGGGAACUAGCUAUCCGCAUCAGAGGAUAUUUUUGACUGCUGAUGUCGUAAGGGAAAAUAAUGAUAAUACCUUACUAUGAGUGUUGUCCAAAUCUGGUGCCAGAAGACUCGGUAAGACCAGAAACGCAAACGUUAAUCAUCAUAAACAGGCGUAAAGGGUUAGUAGGCAGCUUUUAUCAGAUUAUGAAUUCAAAAUAAAGUAGUCUAAUUAAAAGCUAGAAUCAAAAAGAGGUUAUAGUGUAUAACGCCUAGAGGAGGGCUGAUAUCCAUAGAUCCUAGGCAGAAUACUAAGGGCGAAGGCCACUUUCCAUUAAUGAUUGACGCUGAGAAACGAAGGUUAGGGUAGGAAAUAGGAUUAGAUACCCCGGUACUCCUUUCUGUAAACGAUGAAUGGUAGUCAUUAGUUUAAUUAUUCACAAAAAAUAACUAGAGACGAAGUUAACACAAUAACCAUUCCGCCUUGUGAGUACUACUGCAAAGUAGAAAACAAAAAAAUUAGUCGGUCUCGAAGCAAACGGAGUGAAGCAUGUUAUUUAAUUCAUUAAUCCGCCA